UACAUUUUAGUAUAUGACGUACACAAACUUUUGAUGUUUGAAGUAAUAGUUUAAUUCUAUUAAAUGUAA
rnacentral:tRNA from 1 species